UUAGGCUAAUCUGAUUACACUAGUAUUUUACUUUGACUGGGGGUGGAAAGAGAUGUGAGGCUGUCAUGAAAAUAUAAAAUAGUAUCAGGACUUCUCUGUUCUUGAGAUGAAUGUAUAGUUAUUUUAAUUAACCCAGCUUCUGUAUUGAUUGGCGAUUUAUCUAGGAAAAGUUGUGCUGCUGCUUUAUCCAUUCCUUUCAGUUGCUUAAAAAUUUUGGCAUCAGCGUUGGUAAAAUCAAAUGUCGUCUUGAUCUUUUAAUAACCUUGAGUUUAUAUGCUAAAUUUAUACCUUUCUACUCUCUGCUUUUUUUACUUUAGGUUUGGUUUUAAGUUUUGGUCUGUGGUAAGAGGGGAAGGAUUGAGGGGUUCAAGAAAGCUGUGAAAACUAGUUUCAGGAGGAAUGCCUGCUCAGACUACAGAGCCGGAUAGAUGUUCCCUAUGACAGUUUAGUCCCUGAGCAUCAGAAGGGAAGCUAUCCAAUUGGGAUGGUAUUGGAGUGGAAGAGCCUUUGAAGUUUCUAUUCAGAAGACUAGCUAGAGGAGCAACAACAGUUUUCUAAAAGCUCAUGUCAAGACAUUAGGUGGUGGUUCAAUUGAUGAAUGUCAAGGAUAUUUGGAAGCAACAACAAAAACAUGACUGGAUAAUUGGACAACCAGCUGAUGGUAGCCCUGCUGCAUAGUUUGAGCAUAGGUUAGAUGUGGUUUGAUAUGUUAGAGAUUGAUUUUUGUUAUUAUAUUCAUGAGUGAAUGGGUUGGAGAGAUUGUGAACAAGUUAAUUGUAGGUUUUGUGAACAAGUUAUUUGUAGGUUUGGCAACACUUUUAUGUGUUUCUUUUAUACUAUAAAGAGUUUGUAUUUGGAAUU